GGGCGGGGUGGAGCAACCUAAAAGAAGAAGGAGAGCCCUCGACAGGGGAGGAGGGAAAAAAGCCAGCUGCUAGUUGCCAAACCCCAACCGGAGAGGAGCCGCGGAGCCGCCAAGUGCGGUGGAGAAUCGGACCCUGGGGAGGAAGGAAACUGCGGAGAGGUUCUAGGCUGGGCCAGAAGCCAGGGGGAAACUGUCAGAGGAACACAGCAUGAAGUCACAUUAAGCCUGCAUACCCCUGUCCUAUUAGUCAAUGCAGGGCCGGAAUCUGAAGACAGAGCACUGGCGACAGGGGUCCUCAUCUCCAGGACAAGGCUCUAUCUCAACCUCCUGUGCCAGCCCAAAGCUUGUUGAGGCUCGCUUGUUCUUUCUUAGAUGCCAUACAGGAAGGGUCUUCUUUAGAAACUCAGAAUGGUUUGGUUGCAUCUCCAAGUUCCCCGAAAAUUGCUUGCGUGUCUCUUCAACUGCACGUUCCCAAGGUGACAGCGUUGUAAUUCUUGGUUCUCUUCCUUGGCCAACCAGGAAAUGCUACCGUAACUGUAACCCAAGCCAUAGCGGGACAUUGCAGGGUUCGUUUACUAUGGAACUUCUUAAGUACUUCCCCUACCUUAAGCGGGUCCCCCAACUCGUUUAAGGGGUGUUAAGUUUUGGACCUGCUUGUCUUUCCCCUGCUCGCUCUCUAUUCUCUGGAAAACAAAAGAAAAAUAUAACUCUGUGAUUGGUCUGGAGAAAAAUCAAUUAAAUAACUAAGAAUAAAAUAAAAUAUGAUUUCAUAAGCAUUAAAAAUAUAUAAAUCUGCCAAUUCUGGAAGGUGAAGUCUACUCAACAAGAUGCCAGGGGGAAGUGGGUCUUUGGGGGCAUAUAUGUCUUCACCACACGGAAGGGUACCAGCAGCAAACAGCUCCAGCCCCUUCCAGAGUGCCACUUAAAAAUUCACAGGAUUCCCCUAUGGAGUCCCAGGCAGGGACACAGAACUCAGGGAAAAUACUUAAGAGACUUUCUUGAGAACGUGAAUUCAAGUUGCUGAGGCUCGCUGACGGCCCUUGAAUGGAUACUUUCAACUCUCUUGCUCCUAUAAUUUUAAAUCUGCUGUAUUCCAAAAGGUGUUUUUAAUGUUUUCAUGCAAGCCUGCUCACAACAGGGACGCAGAGACAGCAGCUGGGGGUUCUUCCGUCCUUCCUGUUAGAUUGGGACAGAGAGGGCGCUAACACAGAGGAUACCACUAUUGGGAAGAAACCUAGCAGACAGUGAACUGGCCUUCUGCUUCGGAGCCUGAGAUCUCAGGCCCGUGAUCAACUGACUGCCAUUUUCCAUCCAGCCCCAAGGGUGGUUUCUCAGUUCCUGUUUCCCUUGGGAUGUGCAUGGAUCUGGAGGAUGAGUGGCUGUAAAACUGCCAGAGGGAGUCACAUGGUCCUCUGUUCCAGAGAUGCAGGAUGCAUGACGGAGCAUCAGCAUGUGGCCAGUAAGCCGUGGCCAUUUACUGACUGCACAGAUUUGAGUGCACCUACACUGUCCCAGUUGCUGUUGUGGCGCACGGAUAUUGAAGGAAUACAACUGACAAAGGCCAGCCCUAGGAAACUUUGACGGUAGUGAGUGACCCAGUCGGAGUAGGGACAGACUCUAAACAUAAAUUCCACAGAGAGCUCACCCAAGCCACUCCUUCCUGCACGGUUUCCUCCCAGACAACAUCCCACUGUUAACUCAGUGCUGAGCUCAGAGUCCCUCACGGUGAUCAUGUGUCCAGAGCCUUCUAUCCCAGUGCUGAGCCCUGAGUCCAUCACUGUGGCUCUACCUGAAACGUCUUUGGGAUUUCUCCUCUCCUCCUUCCAUCGUCUACCAUUCGAUCUACCUUCUUGCUCUCCCUGGUUGAUUGCCUACAACAAACCUCAGUCUGGAAACGUUAAUGGAAAUUCCCAGAAGAUUCAGAUAACCCAAAUGUUAACCAUUCACCAUAGAAAGAUUGGGAGCCCACUGCAGAACUUAUCUAAGUUAUGGGAAGCCAUUCACUUCUGGAACUCACAGGAACAGGGACAUUGUUUGUCCUGGUCGGAGAACUCAACACCAAGAAACUAUCUUGGAAACGUGCCAGAUCCUCACUCUUGGACUUCCCAGUCUCGAGAAUUGUGAAAAACAAAUUUGUUCUUUACAAAUGACCUUUUCAUGGGCAUAGACGCUAAGCAAGCGGCAUAGCUGUCCAGAUGAAGAAAAUAUCUUGUUUAGAGUCAAGCACGACCAUGGCAGAAAUUCCACUAACGAUAACACUUCCUGGGUCGUGGUGAAAGGGGAGCCAAACUCAAAAGACGGCGUUUGAAAAGCACAUGACAUCAAACCAAAAUGAGGGGAGAGAAACUUUCAAUGAUAUGCUUAGUUUUUCAUUGCUUCUAACUAUAAUUGCACUAGCAUUACAGGGAAAGAUCUCCAGGUGACUGUCAACUAUGGUCACCUAGAGGCAGGGGACACAUUUAAAGAUAAAGGUCAAAUGUGUAUGAAAUGAAAAUCAAGGCUCCCUGAUGUAUCACAGGACAUUGUUUUUUUAUAAACAGUAUAUACCUGACUAAGUUCCAAAAAGGAAUCUACUGCCUGGAAACCUCAGCUGCUGGAGAAGGGGCAAAGCAAAUCAGAGCGAACGAAAGUCCUUUAUCAGAAGAAAAAAAAAAUCCAAAGCAGAUUCCAUUUCCUGUCAGCCCUGAUAGAAAUAUGUUGAACAACAGAAGAAAGGGGAUCUGUUCAAAACAGCAACACAAGACGCAUCUUUACCUUUCCUUUAACAUAUCUGUAUCCCCCAACAUGCAAGACAUGUUUUCAACAUGUUAACCAACUUAUUCAUCUUGCUUAAUCUACAGAAUAAAAAAUAUUAUUAUAAUUACUUUCCCACAGCAAUACUAACAAAAACAAAAACUAUUAAGAAAGCUCAAAAUACCUUUGCAAUGUGUGUUGUUUAUAGGAAACAGCAAAUCCGAAGUGUGUAGAGUGUCCUAAAGGCAGUCUUGAUCUAGCUGCUAUAGUCUGCAAAGACAGAUUCAGAUUGUGAGACAAUUCUAUCAAGUCAGAGGCAUUGAUUUCUUUCAGUAUGUUGUCUUGGAAAGCAAAAAGCAAGAUAGAAUUGUUCUAUAUUUAAGAAAACUAGAAACACAAACCCAAAUAAAAUCCGAAAUCUUUGGUCAUCAUGAGGAAAUCUCAAAGUUUUUACACUGGUGUAUUUGCACAUUAAAAACUUAAAUAUAAGUUAUAGCUUGAUAAUAUAAUU